rnacentral:lncRNA from 1 species
CGAUUUGCGGAUCUGAUUGAAAAACACAAUGAUGAAAUCGCAGCACUUGAGACUUGGGACAAUGGGAAGCCGUACGAACAAGCUGCUUCAGCAGAAGUACCCAUGCUUGUUCGCCUAAUUCGAUACUAUGCUGGCAAGCCAUCCCUAUCACCAUAAAAGGAAAUGUUUAGUGUGCGUUGUCCAUAGAGCAAAUGAAAUCUAAUGAAAAAAAAUCUUAUUUUAUGCCGUUUCAGGUUGGGCAGAUAAAAUCCAUGGCCUUACGGCUCAAGCUGACGGAGCGCAUCAUGUUCAAGUGCUACAUGAACCUUACGGUGUUGCUGGGCAGAUUAUCCCCUGGAAUUUUCCACUACUGAUGUUUGCUUGGAAAGUUGGCCCUGCAUUAGCAUGUGGAAAUACUAUUGUACUAAAGACCGCAGAGCAGACUCCUCUCUCUGCUCUUUAUGUAGCAAGGCUGGCUCUUGAGGUGGGCAUUUCCAUUCUUCUCUAUGUUUCAGAUCGAAACCAUGGGUAUGAACUGUGCGUGACACAAAGGACAUUAUUGAGUGUUCUAUUAUUUCUGUGUCGCAUGUUACCAAUAAAGAGGGUUAACAUUGUUUACUUAAAUAGGUUGUUAUUUAAAUGCAAAACACUUUUUACCCCUUCUGAUUAGUAUCUUGGCCCACCUCACUUUAGAAACAUCUUUGUAGCACUGAAAGAAAAGGUAAAUUUUCCUCAGGAGCACUGUUUGUCAGAGAGUCGGUAAGUACAACACAGUAAAAUAUCUAAAGAAACAGAAAUGAAAGAAAUUGGAUAAAUAUAAUGAAGUGAAAUUGAGCUUUUUUUCAGGUUAUUUCAUAGAAACUGCCUGCCCAUCGGUGUGCAGCCUCUUCUAAAGGCCAAUGUGAAAUUUUCCCUGCGGAACUGUUAUGUACAUCGUUGCACAAUUUUUUUUGGUCAUUUCAAAAAUAAGAGUGCAGAUGAGAAGGUUUCAUCAUCACUGAAAUCUAAUAAAAAUAUUGAAUCGUAUAAAAUGGAUCUUUCUAUUUGAUUAUUAGCUUUUGACAUCUGUCUUGGUGUACAUGACAAUGAUGUAUUUUGUCCUCUAUAUGUCUAUCAGAAGAUGUUAUUCAAUAUUGCAUAAAUAGGAAAGUCUACCCUAUGCGGCAUGAAUUGUAUCUGAUAUGCAUUCGUGUUUGCAGGCUGGGCUUCCACCUGGUGUCUUAAAUGUAGUGUCUGGAUUUGGCCCAACUGCUGGCGCAUCCCUUGCUACUCACAUGGAGGUUGAUAAGGUAUCUUAUGAGAGACAACCAGCUGCAACCUUUAAAUGAUUUCAUUCACUAUCUGCAACCGCAAACCGUGCGACAUAAACGGCAGUUAAUCAUAUUUCUGUGUUUUCUCAUCUCAUACACACCAAUGUUCCCCUCAAUCAUGUUAGAAAUUUUUUCUUACAUCGAAGUUCAACACGCAGAGAAAUAAUUCUCAAGACUAUUUCCUUGCUUAAUGUCCACUUAAACUCUCUAUAAUUUCCAUGACCAAAGUUAGGAUAGACAAGCUAUUAAGGUGUCUGCCUUGAAGAUGUUCUUGGUUUCUCCCUUGCAAAUUCCCCAGCGAGUAGCAGGAAAUUCACACAGCAAUUGCACUUGUCAUUCACAGCACAAGGUGGUUAUUGUCAUAUGAAGUCAUAGAUACCAUAUAACUGAUGCUGCCGGAAAUUUUGAUUUAAGAUUUUAUCCAUCAGUUUUCCAAUUGACUCAAUGAUAGUUUAACCAUAUAAACUACAUUUUCUACGAAAUGGCGCCGGGAAGACUAUGCAUCUGUAUAUCUGGACAACAAUUCCAAAUAUAUCACAUCUUAGAAAGAUGUAGAUUUUGAUAGGAUUUUUGUCCAACCAUACGACCUGCUGGGUCUCUCAUUCCCAUUGAUUGAAAGAUCAACGACUUUAAAUUGUAUAAAGGACGAACUUCUGACUACCGUCUCAAGUGCCUUUUUGUCAUCAAGCCUGUUUGUUAUUUAUAAAUUCCCGAACGUCCGUGGGGCUUGGAGAAUACCAUGGCAUUCCUUCCGAAGAGAAUAUUCCCUUGAAGACCCUCGCUUAAUUCUCAUAUUUGAAAUACACAGAGCUGUGUAUCUAUGAUGUUUCCUGCUUAAUGUUGACAAGAUCCUGGCGAAAAUCAUUUGAGAUCUCAAUAUGCUCAGCCUGUCCACUGUCUCCUUACUAUUAGUUGAACAAUCAUCGCCCUUAAAGCCAAGAUAUCAAAAUUUUCUUUUCCACACGGACUAAGUGGACCAAAACUCGAGUUUCAUGGACCACCACAUUGACAUUUUCUGCACGUUCCACACAAUUUCCCCUGUCUCCUUCCUUCUAAGCCAUUUAGCUAAAGCUUUAUAUGCAACAGCCUUUUAUUUCUUCUUCCUUAUUGCCGUGAUGUCAGCUUGCUUUUACUGGGUCAACGGACACUGGUAAGAUUGUUCUUGAGUUGGCUGCACGAAGCAAUCUGAAGCCAGUGACUCUAGAGCUUGGAGGCAAAUCCCCUUUCAUUGUCUGUGAGGAUGCAGACGUUGACAAGGCUGUUGAGAUGGCACAUUUUGCUUUGUUCUUCAACCAGGUGAGAGUGCUUGGCAAUAAAAAUCUCCUUCAGAAUAUAGAGGAGUCAAAUAUUCAUAAAAUAGUUUGCCGCAAUCUAAGGUGGAUUUUUCGAUAGGGUCAAUGCUGCUGUGCUGGAUCUCGGACUUUUGUGCAUGAAAAAGUAUAUGAUGAAUUUCUAGAGAAAUCUAAAGCUCGUGCGUUAAGGCGUGUUGUUGGUGACCCCUUCAAAAAGGGUGUUGAACAAGGUCCACAGGUAUGCCAUUGUAAUUUUCUUUCUUCUGGUUUUAAGAUGAAUAUCCCUGUCUAACAUAACCUUUGUCUUCCAUAAUAGUUGUCUUCUCUAAAUUGCUCAAAGUUUAUGAGCACCUUGUCGCUCCACAUUCAUCUAUUGAUAUGUAUCUUCAAACUAUCCGCAGUUAUGCCUAAUUGAUAAAAAUGAAACAAGGAAGCUCCCACUAGAAUAUCCACCUCCCUUAGGGGAUACUGAGAAGCGCACCACAGAUGCCCAUUAAUUAGUUAGAAGGCCAGUCCAUUAAUAUAAUUAAGAACAAGAGGGAUUUCUACUCCAAGUGAGUUACGGUGGUGGUGCGAUUUUCAUAUGAUAGCUAAUGAGAAAUUAAUGGUGGAAUCUGCUACUACCUAUAGUUCUUAAGUGCUAGGACAUUUUCUCCGAAUGAUGUGUGAGGAAUAUGUGUAAGCUUAUUUCCAAGGAAUUUUUAAGACAAGUAAAAGGUUCCAUCAAAACCACCUUUCAUUGUGUGCAAGAACUAAAAUUAGAAAAGGUUCAGGGUUUCUAGAAUAAGUUCCUCAUUUUCUCCCUCUGUUGGAUGUCUCUUCAUGUUCAUCAAAUGCAAACCAAGGAACUAAACACCUAGAAGAUCUGGAUCAUCAUUUUUCUGGCUUCUCUUGACCCUGCCUCAUGUUUAAGCAUCUCUUGGGACUAUGCUUUCUCAAAAUUCAGAUCGACGAGGAGCAGUUCAACAAGAUCAUGCACUACAUAAGAUCUGGACUCGAGAGUGGAGCCACCCUCGAAGCAGGAGGUGAGAGAUUUGGCACCAAGGGUUACUACAUCCAACCCACUGUGUUCUCAGACGUGAAGGCAUGAAACUCCUCACUCUUCUCUACACCAGUUUUCCAUCACCUUCCUCCAUCUUAAAGCAGUUACCUCAUGAAACUUCUUAUCGACAAGCAGGACGACAUGCUGAUUGCGAAGGACGAGAUCUUCGGACCAGUGCAGUCAAUCCUGAAGUUCAAGUGAGCUUUAAACCAUAUGGGUCUCGUGGUCUUAUCUCCUUUUUUAUGUCCUCACUCUCUCAGUGCCAUGCCAUCUCCAUCCAGAGACCUUGAUGAGGUGGUUCGCCGGGCAAAUGCCACCCGCUAUGGGCUUGCUGCUGGGAUCUUCACCAACAACCUCGACACCGCCAACACCUUGACCCGGGCUCUGCGGCAGGGGACCAUCUGGAUCAACUGCUUCGACGUCUUUGAUGCCGCCAUCCCCUUCGGUGGGUUCAAGAUGAGCGGGCAGGGAAGGGAGAAGGGGAUCCACAGCCUCAGGAAUUACCUCCAGGUGAAGGCAGUCGUCACACCACUGAAGAGCCCUGCAUGGCUGUAAGUCUAAGUCGUUCUAUAAUCUGGAAUUCUGGCUGGAUGUUUUAUUAUGGAUAUAUAUACAUAUAUAUAUGAUAAUAAUUGCCGUAUGAAGGUUUAGUACAUGAUCCGGUCUGCUUGAGCCAUAUAAUUAUGAGCACAUAGUCUAAUGGUUCCCCAUAUAGAUAUUUGUUGUUCUAUAAUCUAGAAUUCGGAGGAUAACCCAUAAUAAUUACUGCCUUCUUGCUCUGACUGAAUCACAGGAUCAUGAAUAGAGUCCCAUUGUUGUCAUUGCAAAUCUAAGUGCUUUAUCAUAGCGAAUUCUAACCAUACGUUUUAUAAAUGAUGCAUGAUAAGAAUCACAGUCUGGAGAUCUACUGUGCCCCAGCCCUGGCUGAAUCAGACGAUUAUGAAUAGAUAGCAUCGUGGCUUUCAUGAUAAAUCGGAGUAGUUCUGAAAACAGUUUAUCUACUGUGUUCCAGCUCUGGGUGAAUCAUAGGAUAAUGAACAGACAGUCGCAUGGUUCUCAGAGGACAACCCAUGUUGAUAGUCUCAUGGUUCAUGGAUUCGGAUCAAUAAGUUGGAACCCACCCGAUGGGAAUCGGAUGAGUCUGUGAAUUGUGAUGGGUUCGGACUGAUUUUUAGUCCACAUGGUGGCCUGAUCUGAUGUGAUUUGACCGAGAUGGCUCGCACGGUUGAUCUCAAGAAUUGGCCGAUUCCUGACAUCAAAUCUGCAGAGACGGAAGAGAGGGGAGGGGGAGGGGGAGGUGGUUUAAAUGCACAGGUGCGAAGCAGAGGAGGAUGGAACUCACAUGGCGACGCGGCGGCCACUCCUCUCCUUUGCGAUCUUGCAGUGGAACGAGAGGCGGAGCGAAGGCAGCGGCAGUAAGAGACAGUUGGUUACUACAAAGAUGAGCCGUCGGCGAUUAGGAAAAAGCCCCGCCGUCAACGGAGGCGAGGGCGGCACUCGAUUAAUUGAGCUCCCGGGUAGCCCUAGCA